CAGCAGCCACGGUAAUACGUAGGGUGCAAGCGUUAAUCGGAAUUACUGGGCGUAAAGCGUGCGCAGGCGGUUUUGUAAGACAGAGGUGAAAUCCCCGGGCUCAACCUGGGAACUGCCUUUGUGACUGCAAGGCUAGAGUACGGCAGAGGGGGAUGGAAUUCCGCGUGUAGCAGUGAAAUGCGUAGAUAUGCGGAGGAACACCGAUGGCGAAGGCAAUCCCCUGGGCCUGUACUGACGCUCAUGCACGAAAGCGUGGGGAGCAAACAGGAUUAGAUACCCCUGUAGUCCCUGUCUCUUAUAC
rnacentral:rRNA from 1 species